rnacentral:rRNA from 1 species
UACGGAGGGUGCAAGCGUUAUCCGGAUUCACUGGGUUUAAAGGGUGCGUAGGCGGGCAGGUAAGUCCGUGGUGAAAUCUCUGAGCUUAACUCAGAAACUGCCAUGGAUACUAUUUGUCUUGAAUACUGUGGAGGUCAGCGGAAUAUGUCAUGUAGCGGUGAAAUGCUUAGAUAUGACAUAGAACACCAAUUGCGAAGGCAGCUGGCUACACAAAUAUUGACACUGAGGCACGAAAGCGUGGGGAUCAAACAGG